GGGCGAGUGGCGAAAUGGCAGACGCGCUAGCUUCAGGUGCUAGUGAUCGUAAGAUCGUGGGGGUUCAAGUCCCCCCUCGCCCACCA
rnacentral:tRNA from 4 species